GCCUGGGUGGCUCAGCUGGUUGAGCAUCUGACUUUUGAUUUCAGUUCAGGUCAUGAUCCCAGAGUUGUGGGAUUGAGCCCCACAUUAGGCU
rfam:Felis catus isolate Cinnamon breed Abyssinian chromosome C2, whole genome shotgun sequence.